UGUUAAGACGAGGAAAAUUUCUUUAUGAGUUCAUUUUUCUCUCCUGUGCAUAUGGCUUCCAUUAGUUUCAAUGGGAGUUAUGCAAAAAGAUCUAGUUAGAACAUGCCUUAAAUACAACAAUACAAAGUAACAAAAUUGAUUAUUUCAUUUAGUUCCACAAACUUUCUCAAUGAUGAAUGCCAGAUGCCCAGUUCCUAUCUCCCAGACCACAGAAGCCAUCUAAAAGCCAGUAUAACUGGUUGUCCAUAUUUAGUAGAGUCACUGAGCUGAUUUCCACUCCCUGUCAGUGGUGUAGAUGAUCAGACAACCACCUUAUAAAUGAUUCUUCAAAAGAUAUAAUUGUUUUCAGGCUGCUUGAACUACUGUAAAUUGAUGUAGACUUUGUUUAGAUUUCUCCACCUGUUCUUCUUUAGUCAUUAAAGCAAAAGCACCAACAGAAUGUCCUUUCCCCCUUCCCAGAACAGAGCCAGGCAUUACUGAAACCAUAGGGGAACAAUCUGAGGAAGAGGGCGCAAAGUAAAGGCACCACAAGGAAUAACUACACACCUUACACACACAGCAAGCCUCCUGGGAGAGAUUCAAGCUACGCAAUCAUGCCAGCUUAGCAAAACAAGCAAUCCACAAUGCAACCAGGAAGGAGAACCACAGUGGAAAUCCCCUUUGGAGCUUUUAGAGUGGUUUUGCUGCUCUACUGAGAAGAAAACUUAAGGAUCAGGCUAAAGAAGAAAUGGGAGCAAAGGAGUUUUGCCUUUGAAUGUGGAUUUACUGGCUACUCCCCCUGUUUGCAAGAGGGGGGAGAGAUAUUUUGGCCUACUGGAAAAUGUUCCUAAGGAGAUGAAUUGUUGGUUUGAAAGCAUAAAGUAGACUGUGCAA